AGCAUAGUGGCUUAAUGGAUAAGGCACCACCCUCCGAAGCUGGGGAUUGUGGGUUCGAGUCUCACCUGGGUUG
rnacentral:tRNA from 1 species